rnacentral:rRNA from 1 species
UGGGGAAUCUUGGACAAUGGGCGCAAGCCUGAUCCAGCCAUGCCGCGUGGAUGAUGAAGGCCCUAGGGUUGUAAAAUCCUUUCGUCAGGGACGAUAAUGACGGUACCUGAAGAAGAAGUCCCGGCUAACUUCGUGCCAGCAGCCGCGGUAAUACGAAGGGGGCUAGCGUUGUUCGGAUUUACUGGGCGUAAAGCGCGUGUAGGCGGGCUUGCAAGUUGGGGGUGAAAUCCCGAGGCUCAACCUCGGAACUGCCUCCAAAACUGCAAGCCUGGAGCAAGAUAGAGGCAAGUGGAAUUGCGAGUGUAGAGGUGAAAUUCGUAGAUAUUCGCAGGAACACCAGUGGCGAAGGCGACUUGCUGGAUCUUUGCUGACGCUGAGACGCGAAAGCGUGGGGAGCAA